UAAAUCUCUAAAUCUAGACGUUAUGACAGGCAUGAUUGAGUGGAUAAUGUUUGGUGAUCAAUGCUUAUCUUGUACUUGGCUGCAAUGCUAUCUUGAUUCACCUAAUAGGCUGCAAUGCUGUCUUGAUUCACCUAGCCUUGACCAUUUCCACAUUACACUUUUAAUGGUAACUCUCAUUUUUUUUUUCUUAAGAGAAACAAAAGAAAUCACGAAACCAGGAUUCUUAGGCUUGGACAUGUUGACAGCCCUGAUAGCCCUCUCUUGAUCUUGUUAGGUAUUAUCGAUGAAGAAUUAAGAAACAAAUUUUCUGUUUUUAGAUUAGCUCUUCCCAUCAAACUGCCACUUCAGGUCUUGAAGUUGAACAGAUAUAUCCGGAUCAUGUAAACCCUCAGCAUUCUGAUUCAUCAGGUGACUCUUCUUGGUUUUUCAGAUCAGCCCCACAUGUAGAGUUCUUAUAUUUCUUCCUAUCAUGAUCUAGACUUUCAUCAAAACCUUUAUAACUUAAAAAGUUUGAACUGGAACAUGUAAGCUGA